CAUUACAAGUGACCCCGGCUACGGCCGGGAUGUUCAUAACCCUUUGUUGUCCGACUCUGUUGCCUCCGGGGCGACCCUGCCUUCGGGCGGGGGCUCCGGGUGGACACUUCAAACUCUUGCGUAACUUUGCAGUCUGAGUAAACUUAAUUAAUAAAUUAAAACUUUUAACAACGGAUCUCUUGGUUCUGGCAUCGAUGAAGAACGCAGCGAAAUGCGAUAAGUAAUGUGAAUUGCAGAAUUCAGUGAAUCAUCGAAUCUUUGAACGCACAUUGCGCCCCCUGGUAUUCCGGGGGGCAUGCCUGUUCGAGCGUCAUUUCACCACUCAAGCCUCGCUUGGUAUUGGGCAACGCGGUCCGCCGCGUGCCUCAAAUCGUCCGGCUGGGUCUUCUGUCCCCUAAGCGUUGUGGAAACUAUUCGCUAAAGGGUGUUCGGGAGGCUACGCCGUAAAACAACCCCAUUUCUAAGGUUGACCU
rnacentral:rRNA from 1 species